rnacentral:rRNA from 1 species
UACGGAGGGUGCAAGCGUUAAUCGGAAUUACUGGGCGUAAAGCGUGCGUAGGCGGUUCGUUAAGUCUGUUGUGAAAGCCCCGGGCUCAACCCUGGGAAUGGCAAUGGAUACUGGCGAGCUAGAGUGUGUCAGAGGAUGGUGGAAGUUCCCGGUGUAGCGGUGAAAUGCGUAGAGAAUCGGGAGGAACAUCAGUGGCGAAGGCGGCCAUCUGGGACAACACCUGACGCUGAGGCACGAAAGCGUGGGAGCAAACAGG